AAUUUUAGUUCCAAAUUUACGUCAUUGAGGAGAAAAGUUUGGCAAAAAUAAUAAACAAGCUAGUUCUAUAAAUUGGAUUCAUUAGAGUGCAGGACAAAAACAUGCACUCAUAACAUCUUAGGGAUCUAGGAGGUCCUCAAAUGCUUCGAUAGGAAGAUCAAUGAUUGGUUCAUCACUAUCAUCCUCAUUUGGAGGGAGCGUGGAAAAGGGUGAGUUCCAUAAACUCUGUAAGAAAAAUAUUAUUUAAACAACAUUAUUAAGAUUUUAAGGGUACUAAAUCUUUAAAGAAAUAUACCAUUAAUCGCUUACCAUCGAAGAUCAUUGCAUGUGAGUUCAUUUCAUU
rnacentral:lncRNA from 1 species